GUUGUUUGGUUACUGAUUUGAGACAGGAAAUUUUUGGGAUGGUCCAAAAAUAGGGGAAACUCUGCCCGAUUUUCUGUAAAAUACCGAUGAGCCUUACUUGGGAGCAUUUGCUUUUAAGCGUCGUUCAUAAUCCUAAAUUGGGUCGUGAUAAUUUACAACCACAAAAGUGAUAUGACAGGUUUCAGACCACAAGUUUCGAAAGUUUUACAGCCCCAUAAAUGUUAUUGCUUAUUUAAGACCACAUAUCUCAAAAAUCUUCUCUGUUUUAUUAAAGUUUGU
rnacentral:lncRNA from 1 species